CGUUGUGACUAAAGGUUAGACUGUCAAUUGCAACUUGAUAUAAUAGGGUUCGAAUCCCUACACAAUGU